UACGUAGGGAGCAAGCGUUGUCCGGAAUCAUUGGGCGUAAAGCGCGCGUAGGUGGCUUCGUAAGUCCGUUGUGAAAGUCAAAGGCUCAACCUUUGAAAGCCGAUGGAUACUGCGGAGCUAGAGUACGGAAGAGGCGAGUGGAAUUCCUGGUGUAGCGGUGGAAUGCGCAGAUAUCAGGAGGAACACCAAUAGCGAAGGCAGCUCGCUGGGACGUUAACUGACACUGAGGCGCGAAAGCGUGGGGAGCGAACAGG
rnacentral:rRNA from 1 species